AUGAGACACUGGGGAGCUCUGCUGGGGUUCCUGUGGGUCCAGGUUUCCUGGUUGAGAGGGAUGGAGGUGGAGCAGAGCCCUUCAGCCCUGAGCCUCCAGGAGGGAGUCAGCUCUACUCUGAAGUGCAAUUUUUCUAGCACUGUGGACAGUGUGCAGUGGUUCCGACAGAAUCCCGGGGGCGGUGGCCUCACCUCACUGUUUUACAUAGCUUCGGGGAUGAAGCAGAGUGGAAGGUUAAACUGCACAGUGAAUACUAGGGAACGGUCCAGCACCCUCCACAUCACGGUCUCCCAACUGGAAGACUCAGCCACCUACCUGUGUGCGGCGCAGACACAGUGCUCCCUGGUGAUCUGCAGCUUGCACCCAAACUGCAGGUGGGCCUGCACCCCAGCCCUUCCACCAGGAGGCCUUGCAGAGCAACAGUGCACAGCAUGCUUAGACCAUCUGGGGCUCUGCUGGGCUCCAAAGCGGGUGGCGAUAAACCUGGACAAUAAAUUAUUACAAAAUAAAAGUGUGUAUGUUGACAUUGCAUAA